GUUCCUCCACCAAAAUCCUCCUGAAAUGAGAAGCAAUACUACUGAACAUAAUGCAACCUUUUGCAUGGCUGCCCAACAUGACUAUAAAUCUGUGUGUGCAGUGUUUGGGAAAGUUACAUGGCUGGGAAACCGAUGCCCUGCUUUCAUCUGGAAUUUAUGUGCAGUGUUCAGUAGGCCUCUAUUGGAGCUACUAACCAAAAAAUGAAAAGGAACUAGACCCAGAGAGGAUCAAAUGUGUAAAUGCCAAUUCAGAGAGGUGAGCAAAGCAGGAAGAAAGAAAGAAGGAGGGGAGGUCAAGAUGAGAACUCUGCUGACUCCUGAUUCUCCAAGAAUGGAGAAGAUCAGGGAAAGUCUGAAUGAAGGCCAGCAGGCAGUAUCAGCCGAACCAAGAAGGGCCAUAAAGCUGCAGACCAGGAAAUCUGCCCUCUGAGAGCACAGAAUUUAGAAUGGACAGCAAAUUUAGUAAAAGUAGGUGUUCCAGCUAGAAGAUUUGGAUGAAAAGUGAUUCCAAAAAAAUGAGGCAAUCUCAUCCCGAAACUAUUUAAAACUACUCUCCUCUCUCUUGAUAAACCGUCAGUAGGAAGUGUGUCGUUUAUUCCCUCACUCCACACUGGAUUCAUAUGGGCUGAUAGCAGCAGGAUUAAAAAUUUUUUUCAUCAUGAGUUAAAUCCCUAAGAUUUAGAGUAUUUUGUUUGUCUGAAUGUCUAAGCGGUACAAACCUUAGCAAUCCAUAUUAAAAUGGAGAAUUCCUUCUUUUGGUAUUCACAAGCAUAACAUACAUAAUCCUUUA
rnacentral:lncRNA from 1 species